UGGGGAAUAUUGGACAAUGGGCGCAAGCCUGAUCCAGCAAUACCGCGUGAGUGAUGAAGGUCUUCGGAUUGUAAAGCUCUUUUAGUAGGGAAGAUAAUGACGGUACCUACAGAAAAAGCACCGGCAAACUUCGUGCCAGCAGCCGCGGUAAUACGAAGGGUGCUAGCGUUGUUCGGAAUUAUUGGGCGUAAAGGGUACGUAGGCGGCAUGGUAAGUCAAUUGUGAAAGCCCUGAGCUCAACUCGGGAAUUGCAAUCGAAACUGUCGUGCUUGAGUUUGGUGGGGGAUGAUGGAAUUCCUAGUGUAGGGGUGAAAUCCGUAGAUAUUAGGAGGAACACCGGUGGCGAAAGCGAUCAUCUACGCCAAUACUGACGCUGAGGUACGAAAGCGUGGGGAGCAAACAGG
rnacentral:rRNA from 1 species